rnacentral:rRNA from 1 species
ACUCCUACGGGAGGCAGCAGUGGGGAAUAUUGCACAAUGGGCGCAAGCCUGAUGCAGCGACGCCGCGUGCGGGAUGACGGCCUUCGGGUUGUAAACCGCUUUUGAUCGGGAGCAAGCCUUCGGGUGAGUUACCU